rnacentral:rRNA from 1 species
AUACGGAGGGUGCAAGCGUUGUUCGGAUUUAUUGGGCGUAAAGCGAGUGUAGGCGGCUUAGCAAGUCGGAUGUGAAAUCCCAGGGCCCAACCCUGGAACUGCACCCGAUACUGUUAGGCUAGAGUUCCGGAGAGGGUGGCGGAAUUCCCGGUGUAGGGGUGAAAUCCGUAGAUAUCGGGAGGAACACCAGUGGCGAAGGCGGCCACCUGGACGGUGACUGACGCUGAGACUCGAAAGCGUGGGUAGCAAACAGGAUUAGAUACCCCGGUAGUCC